rnacentral:rRNA from 1 species
AGCGAACGCUGGCGGCAGGCCUAACACAUGCAAGUCGAACGAACCUUUCGGGGUUAGUGGCGGACGGGUGAGUAACACGUGGGAACGUGCCUUUAGGUUCGGAAUAACUCAGGGAAACUUGUGCUAAUACCGAAUGUGCUCUUCGGGGGAAAGAUUUAUCGCCUUUAGAGCGGCCCGCGUCUGAUUAGCUAGUUGGUUGAGGUAAUGGCUCACCAAGGCGACGAUCAGUAGCUGGUCUGAGAGGAUGAUCAGCCACAUUGGGACUGAGACACGGCCCAAACUCCUACGGGAGGCAGCAGUGGGGAAUCUUGCGCAAUGGGCGAAAGCCUGACGCAGCCAUGCCGCGUGAAUGAUGAAGGUCUUAGGAUUGUAAAAUUCUUUCACCGGGGACGAUAAUGACGGUACCCUGAGAAGAAGCCCCGGCUAACUUCGUG